rnacentral:lncRNA from 1 species
AAUAAUUCAAGACUUCAAGACUCCAUGUCUAAGUCAUAGAGUUUGUAUUAAGGAUGUAAAAGUGUAAAUUUUGUUUAUUGGAUUGAUCAUGCAGGAGAUUAUCGUUUGGUGAUUGCGAUGAUCUUCUUUUUAUAAUUUAUUAGUUGUAUACGAACUUUGUAGUAUUUUUUGUCACGAAAUCGCCAAAGAGGGAGAUUGUUAAGGAUUUUAUAGGUUGGCGAAUUUCGUAAAGUUGUUUGGAGUCUUGAAGAGUUGAUCGCAGAAGUU